rnacentral:rRNA from 1 species
UACAGAGGGUGCAAACGUUGCUCGGAAUUAUUGGGCGUAAAGCGCAUGUAGGCGGCUUGUUAAGUUGGUCGUGAAAGCCCAUGGCUCAACCAUGGAAGUGCAACCAAAACUGGCAAGCUUGAGUUCUGAAGAGGAUGGCGGAAUUCCCAGUGUAGAGGUGAAAUUCGUAGAUAUUGGGAGGAACAUCGGUGGCGAAGGCGGCCAUCUGGGAAGCGACUGACGCUGAGAUGCGAAAGCGUGGGUAGCAAACAGG